UACGUAGGGGGCUAGCGUUGUCCGGAUUUAUUGGGCGUAAAGAGCGUGUAGGCGGUCAGGUAGGUCUGCUGUGAAAACUCGAGGCUCAACCUCGAGACGUCGGCGGAAACCAUCUGGCUAGAGUCCGGAAGAGGAGAGUGGAAUUCCUAGUGUAGAGGUGAAAUGCGCAGAUAUCAGGAGGAACACCAAUUGCGAAGGCAGCUCGCUGGGACGUUACUGACGCUGAGACGCGAAAGCGUGGGGAGCAAACAGG
rnacentral:rRNA from 1 species